CCGAGUUUACAACUCCCAAACCCAUGUGAACAUUACCAAACUGUUGCCUCGGCGGAUCAGCCCUGCUCCCGGUGCUUCUAAGCCCCGGGACCAGGCGCCCGCCCGGAGGACCACCAAACUCUUAUUGUAUACCCCUCUCGGUUUUUACUAUCUGAGCCAUCUCGGCGCCCUCGUGGCGUUUCGAAAAAUGAAAUCA
rnacentral:misc_RNA from 1 species